rnacentral:rRNA from 1 species
CGCGUAGGCGGGAGUUUAAGUCCGCUGUGAAAGCCCGGAGCUCAACUCCGGCACGUCGGUGGAGACUGGACUUCUUGAAAGGGCUAGGGGGAGAUGGAAUGACCGGUGUAGCGGUGAAAUGCGUAGAUAUCGGUCGGAACACCAGUGGCGAAGGCGGUCUCCUGGGGCCUGUUUGACGCUGAGGCGCGAAAGCUGGGGGAGCCAACG